CUACGGGUGGCUCCAGUGAGGAAUAUUGCACAAUGGGGGGAACCCUGAUGCAGCAACGCCGCGUGGAGGAUGACGCAUUUCGGUGUGUAAACUCCUUUUAUAUGUCAAGAAAAUGACGGUAGCAUAUGAAUAAGCACCGGCUAACUCCGUGCCAGCAGCCGCGGUAAUACGGAGGGUGCAAGCGUUACUCGGAAUCACUGGGCGUAAAGGACGCGUAGGCGGGUUGGAAAGUCAGGUGUGAAAUCCUACAGCUUAACUGUAGAACUGCACUUGAAACUUCUAAUCUAGAGUAUGGGAGGGGGAGAUGGAAUUAGUGGUGUAGGGGUAAAAUCCGUAGAUAUCGCUAGGAAUACCUAAAGCGAAGGUGAUCUCCUGGAACAUUAUUGACGCUAAGGCGUGAAAGCGUGGGGAGCAAACAGGAUUAGAUACCCUCGUAGUC
rnacentral:rRNA from 1 species